rnacentral:misc_RNA from 1 species
GAUGAAGAACGCAGCGAAAUGCGAUACGUAAUGUGAAUUGCAGAAUUCAGUGAAUCAUCGAGUCUUUGAACGCACAUUGCGCCCCCUGGUAUUCCGGGGGGCAUGCCUGUCCGAGCGUCAUUGCUGCCCUCAAGCACGGCUUGUGUGUUGGGCCUCCGUCCUCCUCCCGGGGGACGGGCCCGAAAGGCAGCGGCGGCACCGCGUCCGGUCCUCGAGCGUAUGGGGCUUCGUCACCCGCUCUUGUAGGCCCGGCCGGCGCUUGCCGACACAUCAAUCUUUUUUCCAGGUUGACCUUGGAUCAGGUAGGGAUACCCGCUGAACUUAAGCAUAUCAAUAAGCGGAGGA